rnacentral:rRNA from 1 species
UACGUAGGGUGCAAGCGUUGUCCGGAAUUAUUGGGCGUAAAGAGCUCGUAGGCGGUUCGUCGCGUCGGCUGUGAAAUCCCGAGGCUCAACCUCGGGUCUGCAGUCGAUACGGGCGGACUGGAGUUCGGCAGGGGAGACUGGAAUUCCUGGUGUAGCGGUGAAAUGCGCAGAUAUCAGGAAGAACACCGAUGGCGAAGGCAGCUCUCUGGGACGGUACUGACGCUGAGACGCGAAAGCGUGGGGAGCGAACAGG